rnacentral:rRNA from 1 species
GGGGAAACCGGGCGGGGUGCUAAUACAUGCAAGUCGAGCGAACGGACGAGAAGCUUGCUUCUCUGAUGUUAGCGGCGGACGGGUGAGUAACACGUGGAUAACCUACCUAUAAGACUGGGAUAACUUCGGGAAACCGGAGCUAAUACCGGAUAAUAUUUUGAACCGCAUGGUUCAAAAGUGAAAGACGGUCUUGCUGUCACUUAUAGAUGGAUCCGCGCUGCAUUAGCUAGUUGGUAAGGUAACGGCUUACCAAGGCAACGAUGCAUAGCCGACCUGAGAGGGUGAUCGGCCACACUGGAACUGAGACACGGUCCAGACUCCUACGGGAGGCAGCAGUAGGGAAUCUUCCGCAAUGGGCGAAAGCCUGACGGAGCAACGCCGCGUGAGUGAUGAAGGUCUUCGGAUCGUAAAACUCUGUUAUUAGGGAAGAACAUAUGUGUAAGUAACUGUGCACAUCUUGACGGUACCUAAUCAGAAAGCCACGGCUAACUACGUGCCAGCAGCCGCGGUAAUACGUAGGUGGCAAGCGUUAUCCGGAAUUAUUGGGCGUAAAGCGCGCGUAGGCGGUUUUUUAAGUCUGAUGUGAAAGCCCACGGCUCAACCGUGGAGGGUCAUUGGAAACUGGAAAACUUGAGUGCAGAAGAGGAAAGUGGAAUUCCAUGUGUAGCGGUGAAAUGCGCAGAGAUAUGGAGGAACACCAGUGGCGAAGGCGACUUUCUGGUCUGUAACUGACGCUGAUGUGCGAAAGCGUGGGGAUCAAACAGGAUUAGAUACCCUGGUAGUCCACGCCGUAAACGAUGAGUGCUAAGUGUUAGGGGGUUUCCGCCCCUUAGUGCUGCAGCUAACGCAUUAAGCACUCCGCCUGGGGAGUACGACCGCAAGGUUGAAACUCAAAGGAAUUGACGGGGACCCGCACAAGCGGUGGAGCAUGUGGUUUAAUUCGAAGCAACGCGAAGAACCUUACCAAAUCUUGACAUCCUUUGACAACUCUAGAGAUAGAGCUUUCCCCUUCGGGGGACAAAGUGACAGGUGGUGCAUGGUUGUCGUCAGCUCGUGUCGUGAGAUGUUGGGUUAAGUCCCGCAACGAGCGCAACCCUUAAGCUUAGUUGCCAUCAUUAAGUUGGGCACUCUAAGUUGACUGCCGGUGACAAACCGGAGGAAGGUGGGGAUGACGUCAAAUCAUCAUGCCCCUUAAGAUUUGGGCUACCACCGUGCUACAU